CCUGCAUGGGGCUGUUGCUUAGAAGCUUCUGGAAAACAAUGAGCUGUGCAGCACACAAGCCUCCAUUUGUUUCACAACACGCCAGCGCUGCGUCUAGGGACAUGUGCGCUGUUCCGUCCAUGGCUCUGUUCCCAUACUGAUUCCUGGAUGCGGGUCCUGGCCUUCCUGGCGCUCCUGGCCCAUCCUGACAAGGUGGCCACAGCUCUCCUUCCUGGCCUACCCCCUGACACCGCCCAAGAUCUCCUAUGCUGGCCACCAGGUUCAGCCUGGAAGAGAUUCAAGGCCCAAGAAAUCAUAAACUGUUUUACCUGUUGUCCUAUCUAAUAAAACCU
rnacentral:lncRNA from 1 species